AUUGAACGCUGGCGGCAGGCCUAACACAUGCAAGUCGAACGGUAGCACAGAGAGCUUGCUCUCGGGUGACGAGUGGCGGACGGGUGAGUAACGUCUGGGAAACUGCCCGAUGGAGGGGGAUAACUACUGGAAACGGUAGCUAAUACCGCAUAACGUCGCAAGACCAAAGUGGGGGACCUUCGGGCCUCACACCAUCGGAUGUGCCCAGAUGGGAUUAGCUAGUAGGUGGGGUAAUGGCUCACCUAGGCGACGAUCCCUAGCUGGUCUGAGAGGAUGACCAGCCACACUGGAACUGAGACACGGUCCAGACUCCCACGGGAGGCAGCAGUGGGGAAUAUUGCACAAUGGGCGCAAGCCUGAUGCAGCCAUGCUGCGUGUAUGAAGAAGGCCUUCGGGUUGUAAAGUACUUUCAGCGGGGAGGAGGGCGGUGAAGUUAAUAGCUUCACCGAUUGACGUUACCCGCAGAAGAAGCACCGGCUAACUCCGUGCCAGCAGCCGCCGCAG
rnacentral:rRNA from 1 species